CCUGCACCCCUCUAGCCACAGAGGCAGCCGUGCUGGGGCCCUGCCAGCAGCUGAGUAAAACUGCUAAUGAAAUAGCACCGUUAAAAAUGGGCCUGCCGUCCACGCCAGAGUGCUUCGCUGGCCCCCAGCCCAGUGCUCCCUAGCACGGGGUCAGGGUGUGGGUCCCUACCUGGUGCUUGCCCUGUGCCCCUUCACCGUGGUGAUGCGGCCAGCUCUGUCCUCUUGGGACCCGUGACAAAUCAUCUUUUUGAUGGUGGUUGUCUCCUGACCUGUGGGCCUCACCCUACCUGAAUAACAAUGAAAGUUACAUUUUAAAAAUACCAGGUCACCUCCUCUGUUGAUAUGUUGUUUUAAUUAACAACUUCUAAACAACUCAUGAGUUCUUUUGGUUUUUUUGAGAUGGAGUCUUGCUCUGUCAGCCUGGCUGGAGUGCAGUGGCACAAUCUCGGCUCACUGCAACCUCUGCCUCCUGGGUUCAAAUGAUUCUUGUGCCUCAGCCUCCCGAGUAGCUGGGAUUACAGGUGUGGGCCACCAUGACCAGCUAAUUUUUG
rnacentral:lncRNA from 1 species